rnacentral:rRNA from 1 species
UACGUAGGGUGCGAGCGUUAAUCGGAAUUACUGGGCGUAAAGCGCGCGCAGGCGGAUCCUGUAAGUCUGAAGUGAAAUCUCACUGCUCAACGGUGAGACUGCUCUGGAUACUGCGGAUCUUGAGACCGGUAGAGACUGGUAGAAUUGCAGGUGUAGCGGUGGAAUGCGUAGAGAUUUGCAAGAAUACCCGUGGCGAAGGCGGCCAGUUGGGCCGGUUCUGACGCUGAGGCGCGAAAGCGUGGGGAGCAAACAGG